UGUAUAACUAAUGCAGUUUUUAUUUGCUAAAUACAGAAGAAAUUCAAAUGGCUCCCUUACUAUACUCAUGCUAUAAGACGUAAUUUUGAGAAAAGGGCAUCUGCAAGGAUGACACAACUUUUUCAAGAUGUUAGGAAAAACUUGCCUCUGAAGCCACAUUGGAUAAGGGAUGCGGUAUUCAAGGAGAUGAAGGGGCACUGGGAGUCUCUUGCAUUCAAGAUAAAGUCAAAACAAAACAAAAAAAAAUGUGAUUCAAAUGCUGGUGCAUCACUUCAUACAGGUGGUUGUGUACCUCAUCGAGUGAUCUAUAAGAGAAUGAAAGAAUCUACUGGAAAGGAUCCAUCAAUUUCAGAAUUUUAAUUUCAAAGUCAUCGCAAGAAAAGUGAUAAAAGUUGGGUAAAUGAGAAAGCUCAAACUGCUUAUAAUACUUUUGAAAGAAAGAAACAAGAAUUAUUAGUUUCUCAAAGUGCAUU